rnacentral:rRNA from 1 species
UUCCGGAGCGGAACCUUUGGAGCUUGCUCCAUUGGUUUAGCGGCGGACGGGUGAGUAACACGUGGGCAACCUGCCCUGCAAAUCGGGAUAACUCCGGGAAACCGGUGCUAAUACCGAAUAUUUUUUUGCCCCUCCGGGGGCGAAACGGAAAGACGGUUUCGGCUGUCACUGCAGGAGGGGCCCGCGGCGCAUUAGCUAGUUGGGGGGGUAAUGGCCCACCAGGGCGACAAUGCGUACCCAACCUGAGAGGGUGAUCGGCCACACUGGGACUGAAACACGGCCCAAACUCCUACGGGAGGCAGCAGUAGGGAAUCUUCCGCAAUGGACGCAAGUCUGACGGAGCAACGCCGCGUGAGUGACGAAGGUUUUCGGAUCGUAAAACUCUGUUGUGAGGGAAAAACAAGUACCAACUAACUACGGGUACCUUGACGGUACCUCACCAAAAAGCCACGGCUAACUACGUGCCAGCACCCGCGGUAAUACGUAGGUGGCAAGCGUUGUCCGGAAUUAUUGGGCGUAAAGCGCGCGCAGGCGGUCCCUUAAGUCUGAUGUGAAAGCCCACGGCUCACCCGUGGAGGGUCAUUGGAAACUGGGGGACUUGAGUGCAGAAGAGGAAAGUGGAAUUCCACGUGUAGCGGUGAAAUGCGUAGAGAUGUGGAGGAACACCAGUGGCGAAGGCGACUUUCUGGUCUGUAACUGACGCUGAGGCGCGAAAGCGUGGGGAGCAAACAGGAUUAUAUACCCUGGUAGUCCACGCCGUAACGAUGAGUGCUAUGUGUUAGGGGGUUUCCGCCCCUUAGUGCUGCAGCUACCGCAUUACGCACUCCGCCUGGGGAGUACGGCCGCAGGGCUGAAACUCAAGGAAUUGACGGGGGGCGCGCACAGCGGUGGAGCAUGUGGUUUAUUUCGAAGCACGCGAGACAUACCAGUCUUGA